UACGUAGGGUGCAAGCGUUGUCCGGAAUUAUUGGGCGUAAAGAGCUCGUAGGCGGUUUGUCGCGUCUGCUGUGAAAACUCGGGGCUUAACCCCGGGCCUGCAGUGGGUACGGGCAGACUAGAGUGCGGUAGGGGAGACUGGAAUUCCUGGUGUAGCGGUGAAAUGCGCAGAUAUCAGGAGGAACACCGGUGGCGAAGGCGGGUCUCUGGGCCGUAACUGACGCUGAGGAGCGUAAGCGUGGGGAGCGAACAGG
rnacentral:rRNA from 1 species